GAUGGAAGAAAUAUGUGCAAGUGCUGACUACCUCCUUGGUGGGGUGCUUGGAAAUGAAAGAAGUUCCCCCUUUGAUGCUUCCAUUUUUCCAUGAAGUGUGGACACUGUCACUUGUGGAGGCAUAGUGGGAACAAGAAGAUCCACCUGACUCAACCAGACAUAGCUCCCUUUCCUAAUUUACUGUUCCAUUCCUAAGGCUUUCUCCCUUUGGGCUCAGUGUGGACAGACAGGCACACAGCAGGACAGACCUGCAGACCCUACAGACAGCGCCUUGUGGAGGCACAGCAGCCCUUCCCUGGGCCGGAAGCAAAGACCCACCCCAACCUCUUUCCUGUCCUUCAUCAGUCUUUGCUGAACCUGGAAAGGAAAUGUGUUCCAAAGGCAGGAAAUGACCCAGAGACCUUAACAAUAUGUAAAAAGCUGAGCGGGUGUUUCCUCCACUUUGUUUCAAACUAUCUUAAUGUGUGUCCCAGGAAGCCUAACCUCUUGCCAGAUGGAGAUCUGUUUUUUGGCAUCUUCCAUCCCCGGCUGGUGACAUUUGCACAUUUUAGAAGUAGGGAGAGAGGCUCUUUAUUCACUAAUGAUGGUUCUACAAAUUUAUGCAGCCAUUUUGGACGUACAUUUGACAAUAUCUUCCUAGAAGAAACAAGCCAACAAAAACAGCAAGCCAAUCUGGGAAAGGUAGUUGACAGACUCCCACCCAAGGAUCACAGAGCAAGUACUUUGGCUGAGAGAUAACUGCUACAAGGAAAUUCCUAAGGGUCUUAAGGACAAUGCACCUGUAAAACUGGGCUCUGGGCCCAUCCAUGCCUUUCUCCUAUAAAUUGCACUUCCCGCUAUGGACCUCUGGUCUCACGAAAGUGUCCUAUUAAGCCUGGAAACAUGUCUCAGCUCCAAACACAUGUAAGUGGCUUUGCAUUCUAACUUAGCCUGCUUGAUGGGUAAACCUGGCAGACUGGGAAUACACAUCCUAGAUCCUCCAUCUUCAGGACACCUCUAAUCCACAUAGAACCCCUAACCCCAGUGUAUAUUAUCCUCUGAAUUCCUGCACCCCUUUCUGAGUGUGAACUUUUUUCCUAAGUAAAUUGUUUUUGUGUCUCCUGCUGCUGAGUACUGAAGAUUCUUUCCCUGUGGAGAGGGUCAGCAAACCUAUUCCUGGGGUAGGGCAAGUCAAGGAUCUCCAUCUCCUCUUUGUGAACAUCCUGGAAUCCUGUCCAGUGAUUGUAAAUUUUACCUUUCCAAUAACAGGGGAUGAGUUCUAGACCCUUCACAUCUUUCCAACGUUUGGUCUUUUUAACUUUAGCCAUUUUUUGUGGCUGGAUUGUGGAAUCUCAUUGUAGUUUUAAUUUGCACUUCCCCGAGAGCGUGUAUGCAUGUACAUUACAUAUAAUAUGUUUUCUUUGACUUAUAUUGAAACAAUUUCAAAGUUUCCAGAAUAAUACCAAGAACUCCCAUAUACCUUAACCGGAUUCUCCAAUUUCUAAUAAUUUAUUUUCUUUAUCACCCAUUGUCUAUCAAUCAUUGUCUCCCUUAAACAUAUCAACAGUCUUUUUCCAAACCUUUUGUGAGGAAGCUGAAAAUAUGAUGUAGACUCACCCCCACAUUCUCCAGUAUGUAUCUCCCCCAAAGAUCCUUUCCUUUAGGACCAACAAGCAAUCCUUCCUCCAUAUCAAGUUAUUAACAUUGAUAUUCUUACAGUCCCCAGACCUCAUUCAAAUUCUGUCAAUAACCCCUCUGUUUUUGCUUUGUGUUUCAGGAUACUGUAUGCUGCACUUGGUUGUCGUAUCUCUUUGGACCCCUUCACACUGCUACUGCUCCUCUGUCUGUCUAUCUUUCAUGUGCUUGAUAGUUUUAAAUCCUUUUGUGUGACUAUCUUGCUCGGUCUCUUUGCUUUAAAUUCAAUAUUUUUUCUUUUGCAAUUGAUUACUGUCUUGUGAGGGACAUAUUCUGAGAUCAAUCAAUGCCCUGUUCCUUAUCAAACUUCCACCUACUGACUUCAGUGACUCUUGACAUAAUUGACCAUUUUUAUGUAAGUUGCCAAAUAAGCGUCUAUUUUCAUGAGCUGAAAUUAACCUCUCCUCCUUUAAGUUGUGGGUCUUGGGUAUUGUGUCUCUGUGACAAGAAAAGUGACCAAAACAGCUAGUUUUUGAAAGCUGAGGUCUGUGUACUCAGUGUGCUAAUUACUAUUGGGUAUCUUUGCUUUUAGGUCCAUACCAUGGACAAAGCUAGGAAAUAUACAUACUUUUCAUGUUUACCUGUUUAUAUAUGUGUGUACAUAGAUGUACUUACAUAUACUUCUAUUUUGAUAUCUAGGCACACUGUGUAUAUAUAUAUUAAAAACAUAUAAUGAAAGCAUAAACUCCUACCAAUACCUUCAUACCAAUUCAGCUCCCUGAUAUGGAGGAUUGCAUGUUGGUUUCUAUAUUUUUCCCUUUUGAUGUUUAUAAAUAUAUUAUCUGGCAAUAAGAAUUUUGGUACCUAUUACCUUCAACCUCUUUACUUCUUUGCUCUAUCUCUCAAUCACACUCCUGUUUCUUCCUUUCACCACCUCCAUAUCCCACCCCUCCUCCAUGUAGGCCUCACUGGCUCCCUACCCUGCAUCCGAGGUCUCUGCUGCCUGCAUGUCUCUGCAGGGCUCCCUAACUCUCUCUUCUCCUUGUGAUCUCAGCUGCUGUGCUGACUUCUUCCUGCUGGAAGGGAAUGGAAGGGACCAUGUAGCAGGCUUUAGAGGUAAAAGAAAAAAAAAACAGCCAUGCAUUUCAUUUGUAGUCCUUCUAUUUCCUAGAGUCUAUUUCCAAAUUCUUAUAAAGAAAAGCACUCAGUCUUUAAAAAAUAAGAAGAGACUAGAGGAAAGAUAGCUUAUUUAAUAAAUGGUGUUGGAAAAACUGGAUUUCAACCCGCCAAAAAUUAAAACUAGACCCAUACCUAUCACCAUGCACUAAAUUAAGAUCGAAGUGGAUUAAAGAUUUAAAUAUUAGGAAAGAAACACUAAAUUUUCUGGAAGAUGAGUUAGGUAGAACUCUUCAAGAUAUUGGUAUAGGAAAAGACUUUAUGAACAAAACUUCAGUGGCAUGGGAACUUACACAAAGAAUCAUCAACUGGAAUCUUGUCUUAUUAAAAAGCUUCUGCACUGCAAGAGAAACCACCAACAGAGCUAAGAGACAACCUACAAUGUGGGAAAAAUUUUCUGCAAGUGUAUCUUAGACAAAGGACUACUGUCUAGAAUAUAUGAAGAACUGAAAAAAAUCAGACCCCCCAAAUUCAAAGACCCAAUUCAAAAAUGGGCAUCUGAAAUGAAUAGACAUUUCUCAGACAAAGGAGUAAAAGCAGCAAAUAAAUAUAUGAAAAAAUGUUCAUCAUCACUGGUUAUUCAAGAGAUGCAGAUGAAAACAACACUGAGAUUCCACCUCA
rnacentral:lncRNA from 1 species